ACUACACCUGUUGUAUUCAGCAUUUCACUGUAAGGUCUACUACACCUGUUGUAUUCAGCAUUUCACUGUGAGGUCUACUACACCUGUUGUAUUCAGCAUUUCACUGUGAGGUCUACUACACCAAGUCAAACACUCACUUGUCUCUGAUGAUGGUCUGUAAUUCUAGUAUCUGACUGUUAAGAGGAAGCAGUUUCAGUUGAGGUCCAAGGUUUAACACAUCUGGGCCGAGCCCACCACCAUUCGGACAGUUCCCGUUCAAACGCUGUUUAUUGACGUCAUCCACCGCCUCAG